GAUGAACGCUAGCUACAGGCUUAACACAUGCAAGUCGAGGGGAAACGAUAGAGAAAGCUUGCUUUUUCUGGGCGUCGACCGGCGCACGGGUGAGUAACGCGUAUCCAACCUGCCCACCACUUGGGGAUAACCUUGCGAAAGUAAGACUAAUACCCAAUGAUAUCUCAAGAAGACAUCUGAAUGAGAUUAAAGAUUUAUCGGUGAUGGAUGGGGAUGCGUCUGAUUAGCUUGUUGGCGGGGUAACGGCGCACCAAGGCGACGAUCAGUAGGGGUUCUGAGAGGAAGGUCCCCCACAUUGGAAUGGAGACACGGUCCAAACACCUACGGGAGGCAGCAGUGAGGAAUAUUGGUCAAUGGGCGAGAGCCUGAACCAGCCAAGUAGCGUGCAGGAUGACGGCCCUAUGGGUUGUAAACUGCUUUUAUAAGGGAAUAAAGUGAGCCUCGUGAGGCUUUUUGCAUGUACCUUAUGAAUAAGGACCGGCUAAUUCCGUGCCAGCAGCCGCCGUAA
rnacentral:rRNA from 1 species